AUGGCGACUCCCGGUGGUGUAACCACAACGACAACUGAAACCAACGAAUCACAUGUUCAGCAUAGUCAUGGCACACAGCAGUUGACAGUUGACUCAUCUUCCCAACAUCAGAAAACCACCACUACAGUUGAAGACAACGAGACUACAACUACAGUCACAUCAGAAAAGAAUACCACAUCUUCUAAAACCACAACAGGAGCACCUAGCGCAUCACCUCAAACAUCAUCCUCUACAGAAUAUUUCAGGCAAGACGUAUCAGAAGUGGUGACCGGUAAAAUGCCUUCUGGUGGAGCUAUCAUGGAUCCAACUCACCCCCAAAUUAGCUACAAAGGUUUCACCCCGAGGGGCGAUAUACCAACUUCGUCGAAUCCUCAACCAGCAAACCCAUAUCAUGUUGUGGUGCCAGUCUUGGGAGGUGUGAAUCAGGUUGCUCCUAGACAGCAACAGAGGGAUGAUUGGGAUAUACUGAAAGCGAUAGUGUAUGGAGGCUUAGUGGAGUCAGUCACCAGCCUCUCCGUUGUUUCGGCAGCAGCGUCAAGCGGCGCCAAAACAUUGGACAUAUUCAUCCUGGGAAUAGCCAACCUUAUUGGAGGCCUUCCUCUCAUUUUCCACAAUAUCACUGAUCUGAGAGACAUCCGAGACGUGGACGGGAACGACGAGCAGGUCGGCCACUACUGGCUGCAGCUCGGGAAGCGGUCGAAAGCCCGGCUCCACAUGGUCAUGGCCCUGCUCUCAUACAUGGUGUUCGGGCUGCUCCCGCCGGUCCUCUACGGGUUGUCGUUCCGCGAGAGCAACGACCAGGAGAACAAGAUGAUGGCGGUCGCCGGUGCUUCGCUAGCCUGCAUCGCUCUGCUGGCGCUCGGAAAGGCACACGUCCACACCAGGACCUACUUCAAGACCCUCAUGUACUACCUGAUGAUCGCCGUGAGCUCAUCGGGUCUGUCGUACGUCGCCGGCGUGCUGAUCACGCGGCUACUGGUGCAGUACGGAAUCAUUGAGCAAGGCGGCUCGGCUCGUUCUCCUCCCGGGCUGUCGUUGCGGUUCGCUUAUGCUGCUGGUGCAGAGUCGUCUGCAUGGGCCUCAUUCUGA
rnacentral:rRNA from 1 species